rnacentral:tRNA from 1 species
UGUUUUUUAGUUUUAAUUUAAAAUUUUUAGUUGUGGUCUAAAAGAUUUAAAAACUU